AAUAAAACAAUGUAUAACCGGUUCCGCAAAUUUGGUGUUCCUUCAAUUUUUGUUGUUUUUUGUUUUAAUUUUUUGUUAUUUGCACGAGGGCUGCGCUUUAUUAUAAUUAUUAUUAUGGCAUAUUAUUUUAUUUGUUGGUGUUGCUUCUGCGUUCUUCUAAGCCAUGUCUCGGUGUUUGAAGUAUUGAGGCAGCUAAAGGCAAUUAAUAGGAAAUGUUCCUUUAUUGCAACCCCGUUCUCGACUCGCGACCAGAGAGUUAUAAGACUCGACAGAACCGAUAAACCAUAUCAACCACAGGUGUUGAUUCUCCUGAAUAACGAGUCCUCUUACCAAUAUUUUGCUUCGCCUUGGAAGGGACAGGCCCGAUGCUGUCCUAAUCUAAGGGCCGUGGAGGAGUCACAAGCUGCUGGUGACCAACAGUACAGCAACGAGGACGUUGUAAGUGCUAGACACUUGGGCGAAGCCAGCGAACUUUGACUUAUCUCGGCCUAUAUGCCACACAAUUACAAGCAGAGCCACCUCUAGUGAUGCUAAGGAAAAUUCUGGCGGAGGCCAGACGAAAGAAUUAUAUAUUAAAUUUAUCGCUCGCUUUUUCAAAGUUUUUUGCACACAGGCGCCCCUUGCUACUGAUCUCCGGUUUAUUAUUAUUGCUUGCACAGACGGACUGGCGUUCAGACCAAAAGUCACUCGGAAUCGAAUUUGUCUCAUCAUCCUCAUAAUUUAUAUAUAUAUAUAUAUGUAUGUAUAUGAUCUAACUCGACCAC